rnacentral:rRNA from 1 species
GGGGAAUAUUGGACAAUGGGCGCAAGCCUGAUCCAGCCAUGCCGCGUGAGUGAUGAAGGCCUUAGGGUUGUAAAGCUCUUUCACCGAUGAAGAUAAUGACGGUAGUCGGAGAAGAAGCCCCGGCUAACUUCGUGCCAGCAGCCGCGGUAAUACGAAGGGGGCUAGCGUUGUUCGGAAUUACUGGGCGUAAAGCGCACGUAGGCGGAUCGGUCAGUUAGGGGUGAAAUCCCAGGGCUCAACCCUGGAACUGCCUUUAAUACUGCCGGUCUUGAGUUCGAGAGAGGUGAGUGGAAUUCCGAGUGUAGAGGUGAAAUUCGUAGAUAUUCGGAGGAACACCAGUGGCGAAGGCGGCUCACUGGCUCGAUACUGACGCUGAGGUGCGAAAGCGUGGGGAGCAAAC